rnacentral:rRNA from 1 species
UAGGGAAUCUUCCGCAAUGGGCGAAAGCUUGACGGAGCAACGCCGCGUGAGUGAUGAAGGUCUUCGGAACGUAAAACUCUGUUAUUAGGGAAGAACAAAUGUGUAAGUAACUAUGCACGUCUUGACGGUACCUAAUCAGAAAGCCACGGCUAACUACGUGCCAGCAGCCGCGGCAAUACGUAGGUGGCAAGCGUUAUCCGGAAUUAUUGGGCGUAAAGCGCGCGUAGGCGGUUUUUUAAGUCUGAUGUGAAAGCCCACGGCUCAACCGUGGAGGGUAAUUGGAAACUGGAAAACUUGAGUGCAGAAGAGGAAAGUGGAAUUCCAUGUGUAGCGGUGAAAUGCGCAGAGAUAUGGAGGAACACCAGUGGCGAAGGCGACUUUCUGGUCUGUAACUGAAGCUGAUGUGCGAAAGCGUGGGGAUCAAACAGG